rnacentral:rRNA from 1 species
CCAAAUGACUCUCGGCAACGGAUAUCUCGGCUCUCGCAUCGAUGAAGAACGUAGCGAAAUGCGAUACUUUGUGUGAAUUGCAGAAUCUCGUGAACCAUCGAGUUUUUGAACGCAAGUUGCGCCCGAAGUCGUCAGGCCAAGGGCACGUUUGCCUGGGCAUCACGC